rnacentral:tRNA from 1 species
GCCGGGAUGGUCUAAUCGGUUAAGGCGUCGCCCCAGAAAGGCGAAGGUUGCGGGUUUCAUCCCCGCUCCUGGCC